rnacentral:rRNA from 1 species
UACAGAGGUCUCAAGCGUUGUUCGGAUUCAUUGGGCGUAAAGGGUGCGUAGGUGGCGCGCUAAGUCAGGUGUGAAAUCUCGGGGCUUAACGUCGAGUCGGCCACUGAGACUGUUGGCUUGAGCACUGUGAGAGGCUAAUGGAAUUCCGGGUGUAGCGGUGGAAUGCGUAGAGAUCCGGAAGAACACCGGUGGCGAAGGCGGUUAGCUGGGCAGUUGCUGGACACUUGAGGCGCGACAGCGUGGGGAGCAAACAGGG